rnacentral:rRNA from 1 species
UACGUAGGGGGCAAGCGUUGUCCGGAAUCAUUGGGCGUAAAGAGCGUGUAGGCGGCCAGAUAAGUCCGCUGUGAAAUCUCGAGGCUCAACUUCGAGCUGUCGGUGGAAACUGUCUGGCUAGAGUCCGGAAGAGGAGAAUGGAAUUCCUGGUGUAGCGGUGAAAUGCGUAGAUAUCUGGAGGAACACCGGUGGCGAAGGCGGCAUCCUGGACCGGUAUUGACGCUGAGGCGCGAAAGCCAGGGGAGCAAACAGG